GAUGCCGUUUAACUCCUGAGGAAUCUGGAAAGUCAGACUACAGUGAACACUGUUGUCAAAUAUUUUGUUCUGCAUCAUAAAAGAUAAAUACAUAACUUUUCUCAGCCAGCCACAGCAGAGAGUGAUCAAAGUCCUCAGGAUAAACAGCCAUGCACUGGACACCUCUUCUGCUGCCCAGGGAACCACAAUCCAGCACACAAGGAAAACAGCAGAAAGCAGACACUUCUGCCUUGUGGACUCACCCCCUUUAUUGAAGGCAAACAGAUGGCAAAUAACUAGAACACAGAAAAGUUGUAAUCAGUUGUAAGUUGACUUUGGCCUCUGAUUUUCCUGUGUGAUUGACAGUACAAUGAAGGAAAAAAAAUAAAUCUGUGUAUUAAAGAAAAAAACAGUGAAAGAGAGGAUGAAAAGAGUGUUGAACAAUUAGUGACAUCUCAUGUGAACAGAUGGAGGAUUAAUAAUGACAAGGAAAUUCAAAGCCAUGCCUAACAUUCCUUAUUGCAAACAACAUUCUGCAGGGGGUAGGGAUAAUGCUCUCCAAGGAAAG